rnacentral:rRNA from 1 species
AGGAUGAACGCUAGCGGCAGGCUUAAUACAUGCAAGUCGAAUGGGUAGUAAUAUCCAUGGCGCACGGGUGCGUAACGCGUAUGCAACCUACCUACUACAGGGGGAUAACCCGGAGAAAUUCGGGAUAAUACCCCAUAACACAUUUGGGUCUCAUGACUUGAUUGUUAAAGAUUUAUCGGUAGUAGAUGGGCAUGCGUCCGAUUAGCUAGUUGGUAGGGUAACGGCCUACCAAGGCUAUGAUCGGUAGGGGUUCUGAGAGGAAGAUCCCCCACACUGGUACUGAGAUACGGACCAGACUCCUACGGGAGGCAGCAGUAGGGAAUAUUGGACAAUGGGCGCAAGCCUGAUCCAGCCAUGCCGCGUGCAGGAAGAAGGCGUUAUGCGUUGUAAACUGCUUUUUGAUCGGGAAUAAAAGGCUAUGCGUAGCAAAUUGAAUGUACCGAUAGAAUAAGCCACGGCUAACUACGUGCCAGCAGCCGCGGU